rnacentral:rRNA from 1 species
AUUGAACGCUGGCGGCAGGCCUAACACAUGCAAGUCGAGCGGAUGACGGGAGCUUGCUCCUUGAUUCAGCGGCGGACGGGUGAGUAAUGCCUAGGAAUCUGCCUGGUAGUGGGGGCCAACGUUUCGAAAGGAACGCUAAUACCGCAUACGUCCUACGGGAGAAAGCAGGGGACCUUCGGGCCUUGCGCUAUCAGAUGAGCCUAGGUCGGAUUAGCUAGUUGGUGAGGUAAUGGCUCACCAAGGCGACGAUCCGUAACUGGUCUGAGAGGAUGAUCAGUCACACUGGAACUGGGACACGGUCCAGACUCCUACGGGAGGCAGCAGUGGGGAAUAUUGGACAAUGGGCGAAAGCCUGAUCCAGCCAUGCCGCGUGUGUGAAGAAGGUCUUCGGAUUGUAAAGCACUUUAAGUUGGGAGGAAGGGUUGUAGAUUAAUACUCUGCAAUUUUGACGUUACCGACAGAAUAAGCACCGGCUAACUCUGUGCCAGCCGCCGCCGUAAAAC